rnacentral:rRNA from 1 species
GUCUAUGGCCAUACAACCCUGAAUACUCCUGAUUCAUCUGAUCUUGGAAGUUAAGCAGGGUUAGGCCUGGAUAGUACUUGGAUGGGAGAAUAUACUCUCCUAAAGAGA